rnacentral:rRNA from 1 species
UAGUGACAAUAGCGGAGAGGAAACACCCGUUCCCAUCCCGAACACGGAAGUUAAGCUCUCCAGCGCCGAUGGUAGUUGGGGCCAGCGCCCCUGCGAGAGUAGGUCGUCGCUAGGCU